AAAGGAAUAGACGGGAGCCCGCACAAGCAGUGGAGUAUGUGGUUUAAUUCGACGCAACGCGAAGGACCUUACCGGAGCUUGACAUCCUCAGAAUGACCUUGUAAAGAGGUCAGUGCCCUUCGGGGAACUGAGAGACAGGUGGUGCAUGGUUGUCGUCAGCUCGUGUCGUGAGAUGUUGGGUUAAGUCCCGCAACGAGCGCAACCCUUACGGUUAGUUGCUACGAAAGAGCACUCUAGCCGGACUGCCGUUGACAAAACGGAGGAAGGUGGGGACGACGUCAAAUCAUCAUGCCCCUUACGCUCCGGGCCACACACGUACUACAAUGGCGCAAACAAAGGGAAGCGAAACCGCGAGGUGGAGCAAACCCCAUAAAAGGCGUCCCAGUUCGGACUGCAGGCUGCAACUCGCCUGCACGAAGUUGGAAUUGCUAGUAAUCGCGGAUCAGCAUGCCGCGGUGAAUACGUUCCCGGGCUUUGUACACACCGCCCGU
rnacentral:rRNA from 1 species